rnacentral:lncRNA from 1 species
AGAGACGCUUUCCUCCCGAUGGUGGCUAGAUCCACCUCUGGUUGACCAAUUCGUUCCAGAAACGAAUGUGUAAUGAGAAUCCUUUCAUAAAACCUAUGAAAAACGUUCUGCGACUAGAUCGUAAUGAAAUAAACUUCGGUAACACUCCAUGAGUAACUCCAAGCAACUUUCACCUAGGAUCAAAAUCACAGCAUAAACGUUUCUCGUGAAACCCACAGAAACAACGCUACUUUAACAUAUGUUUAUAUAUCACCGAUCUACAACCUUCGUAAAACCGGUCUCCUUUACUUACGCGAAAAAACCUUCGUACAAUCAGACCAAGUCUUAUGAAGAAACUUUCUAAAGUUAACAUAACAGGCUUUAUGAAGAACCAU